CCUGGGGCUGACGCCCCAGGCUAAGUGCUGCCGCCACUUCGUGGCU
rnacentral:sRNA from 1 species